rnacentral:rRNA from 1 species
ACGGAAGGCAGCAGUGGGGAAUAUUGGGCAAUGGGCGAAAGCCUGACCCAGCAACGCCGCGUGAAGGAAGAAGGCCUUCGGGUUGUAAACUUCUUUUAGCAGGGACGAAGGACGUGACGGUACCUGCAGAAAAAGCAACGGCUAACUACGUGCCAGCAGCCGCGGUAAUACGUAGGUUGCAAGCGUUGUCCGGAUUUACUGGGUGUAAAGGGCGUGUAGGCGGAGCUGCAAGUCAGAUGUGAAAUCCAUGGGCUCAACCCAUGAAUUGCAUUUGAAAUUGUAGCCCUUGAGUAUCGGAGAGGCAAGCGGAAUUCCUAGUGUAGCGGUGAAAUGCGUAGAUAUUAGGAGGAACACCAGUGGCGAAGGCGGCUUGCUGGACGACAACUGACGCUGAGGCGCGAAAGCGUGGGGAGCAAACAGGAUUAGAUACCCUGGUA